CCUACGGGAGGCUGCAGUGAGGAAUAUUGGUCAAUGGUCGCAAGUCUGAACCAGCCAUGCCGCGUGCAGGAUGACGGCCCUAUGAGUUGUAAACUGCUUUUGUGCGGGGGUAAAUCGCGUUACGUGUAUCGGGUUGUAAGUAUCGCACGAAUAAGGACCGGCUAAUUCCGUGCCAGCAGCCGCGGUAAUACGGAGGGUCCAAGCGUUAUCCGGAUUUAUUGGGUUUAAAGGGAGCGUAGGCCGUGUGAUAAGCGAGAGGUGAAAUGCCGUGGCUCAACUCCGGCACUGCGGCGGAUACUGUCUGGCUAGAGUGCAGGUGCGGUAUGCGGAAUGUGUGGUGUAGCGGUGAAAUGCAUAGAGAUCAUACAGAACACCGAUUGCGAAGGCAGCUUACGAAAGUGCGACUGACGUUGAGGCACGAAGGCGUGGGGAGCGAACAGGAUUAGAUACCCGUGUAGUC
rnacentral:rRNA from 1 species